GAUGAACGCUGGCGGCGUGCCUAAUACAUGCAAGUCGAGCGAACAGAUAAGGAGCUUGCUCCUUUGACGUUAGCGGCGGACGGGUGAGUAACACGUGGCUAACCUACCUAUAAGACUGGGAUAACUUCGGGAAACCGGAGCUAAUACCGGAUAACAUAUUGAACCGCAUGGUUCAAUAGUGAAAGGCGGCUUUGCUGUCACUUAUAGAUGGAUCCGCGCCGUAUUAGCUAGUUGGUAAGGUAACGGCUUACCAAGGCAACGAUACGUAGCCGACCUGAGAGGGUGAUCGGCCACACUGGAACUGAGACACGGUCCAGACUCCUACGGGAGGCAGCAGUAGGGAAUCUUCCGCAAUGGGCGAAAGCCUGACGGAGCAACGCCGCGUGAGUGAUGAAGGUCUUCGGAUCGUAAAACUCUGUUAUCAGGGAAGAACAAAUGUGUAAGUAACUGUGCACAUCUUGACGGUACCUGAUCAGAAAGCCACGGCUAACUACGUG
rnacentral:rRNA from 1 species